GAUGAACGCUGGCGGCGUGCCUAAUACAUGCAAGUCGAGCGAACAGACGAGGAGCUUGCUCCUCUGACGUUAGCGGCGGACGGGUGAGUAACACGUGGAUAACCUACCUAUAAGACUGGGAUAACUUCGGGAAACCGGAGCUAAUACCGGAUAAUAUAUUGAACCGCAUGGUUCAAUAGUGAAAGACGGUUUUGCUGUCACUUAUAGAUGGAUCCGCGCCGCAUUAGCUAGUUGGUAAGGUAACGGCUUACCAAGGCAACGAUGCGUAGCCGACCUGAGAGGGUGAUCGGCCACACUGGAACUGAGACACGGUCCAGACUCCUACGGGAGGCAGCAGUAGGGAAUCUUCCGCAAUGGGCGAAAGCCGGACGGAGCAACGCCGCGUGAGUGAUGAAGGUCUUCGGAUCGUAAAACUCUGUUAUUAGGGAAGAACAAAUGUGUAAGUAACUAUGCACGUCUUGACGGUACCUAAUCAGAAAGCCACGGCUAACUACG
rnacentral:rRNA from 1 species